UUUGAUGAUGAUAACAAUUUUAUGCUCGAAGACGAAAGUCGCUGUGGGCUGAUUUCUCAUAGACUACAACGGUAUCUGACA
rnacentral:snoRNA from 1 species